UACGUAGGGUGCGAGCGUUGUCCGGAAUUAUUGGGCGUAAAGGGCUCGUAGGCGGUCUGUCGCGUCGAAAGUGAAAACUCAGGGCUUAACCCUGAGCCUGCUUCCGAUACGGGCAGACUAGAGGUAUGCAGGGGAGAACGGAAUUCCUGGUGUAGCGGUGGAAUGCGCAGAUAUCAGGAGGAACACCGGUGGCGAAGGCGGUUCUCUGGGCAUUACCUGACGCUGAGGAGCGAAAGUGUGGGGAGCGAACAAG
rnacentral:rRNA from 1 species